CUCAGAAGCAGCUGGCCCCCAGGGCCCCAAAAAGCUGGAGUGUCACCACAAAGCCACAGGCUUUCUGACCAGGCUGACACUCCUUCCCCCUGCAGGGGCCAUGGCAGAACAUAGAGGAAGGACACAAGGACUAAACAAGGCCUCAGGGACCCAAGGCCCUGGUUCCUUUGACGAUGGUGACUGAUCACUACCCUGCUGCCGAGACAGUGGCCCAAUCUCUCUUCCACUUGGACCCCAAAUUUUGUCAUCUGCAAAAUAAGCUCAAGUGAGAACACCUCCCUUUUGACAGCCUCACCUUUUGUGACAACAGAGCUUAAAGUCAAAGGAUCCAAAUUCUAUUCUGCUUCUGCCACUUCCUAGUAUGUAACUUUGAACAAGUCACUCAACCUUUCUGUGUCUUUCUCCUGUCUAAGAGACCGCUGGCAGGAAGUAAACUGAAAGUCUGAACUACUGUGAACCAAGAGAUGGCAAGGGCAAGACCAGGAAGGGAGGUGCCCAGGAGACAAUGAGCCCUGGACAGUGGAGGAAGGGCAGCAAAGAUGGCUGGGACCACACGAACUCUUUGGGCUGUAACGGAAUCCCAUUCAAACUGGCUCAACCGAAAGGAGUCAACUGGCUCUUUUCACUCAGAGCCUAAUACCAUCUUCAGACAUGGCUGAAGCCAGAAGUCGAAACAGUGUCCAUAAGAA